GGGGGCGGGGCGAGAGCGCUAGGGCUUCUUACGGGGCGAGGAGAGGACUUGUGAAAAAGAAAGGGUUUUUCUGAAGGGAUAAGAGGGAGAGAGAGAAAGAGAGGUGUUAAGGGUGUGUUUGUUUUCUCGUAAAACCAUAUUGAAAAAAAAAAAUCAGUGAAAAGUAAGAUUUCCACGUUUGUUUGGUGUUUUUAUAAAUUCUCAAGAAAACGGGUAUUUUCGUAGAAAAAUCGCGGCGUUGGGAGAGGAAGGGGGAAGCGGAGGUGUGGCCCACGAGGCACAUCCUACCUCGUGGACGCCGGUGGACCUCUCUCUCUUCUCCCUCUUUUCUUUUAAGGAAAUUUCAUAAGAGAAAUUUCAUAGAUAAUCUUUUAGGUAUCGUUUGGUUCGGGUAUAAGCUAGAACUGCUUUUUCCAGGGAUGGGUACAAAUGUUGGAACUAGCUGGAACUAUUGUAUUUUUGUGUUUGGUUGAGUAUUAGGUUUGUACCAGGUAUAAGAAAAAUAGUGUUUGGAUGUAUAAGAUAGAAUAAGGUGAAUAAAUGUUGGUUAAAAGUUAAAAUUACGUUUUUACCCAUCGUG
rnacentral:lncRNA from 1 species